rnacentral:rRNA from 1 species
UACGAAGGGUGCAAGCGUUACUCGGAAUUACUGGGCGUAAAGGGUGCGUAGGUGGUUUUUUAAGUCCGUUGUGAAAUCCCUGGGCUCAACCUGGGAAUGGCAGUGGAUACUGGAAAGCUAGAGUGCGGUAGAGGGUAGUGGAAUUCCCGGUGUAGCAGUGAAAUGCGUAGAGAUCGGGAGGAACACCAGUGGCGAAGGCGGCUACCUGGACCAGCACUGACACUGAGGCACGAAAGCGUGGGGAGCAAACAGGG